UCUCCCCUCCAAAUGCUGAAAUGUCAAACUUUGAAAGCUAUCUCCACUUUGUGGGAGUGUCUGGACUUUGGCUGCCCUUGGCUGGCUGAGGAGUUUAUAAGGACAUGAGACGCCACUGUCCUCACAGAGUCCCAGAGGUGGGUUAUCUUAAGGAUUACCCUGAUGUGUGACGUGACAGAGCUGAGACUCACAGCAGCAAGUGACUGCGCAGCGUUACUCCGCUACGUAGCAGUGGAACUGUGACACGGCCUCCAGUGUUCUGCCCGUGCUUUAUUGCUCUUACUAAAAGAACCAAGGCCGCCACAGUGAUUAGAGACUUGUGAAUGAACGGGAAGACAAACUGAGAUGUUAGCAGAUGGCUGCACACCUGAGUUGCUGUGCUUUAACUAGAAACUCCUCGGACGGCUGGGAGAGAUGCCCUAACUCAGUUUCUGUCAGACCCAGAAGCUCGGAGCAGUAUGGAAAGUCUGAAGCUGCCUGAGCCAUAAAGAGAGUUCAAGGCCAAUCCGGUCUACACAGCAAGUAAACCACAGUGUCAGUGCCAGCCUAGGGAUUCUCUGACGGGGAAACCUCCAGUGGUCCAGAAAGCUCAACGGACAGUGUUUUGCCUGGCGGAGGGGCAGGCUCAGAGGUCACACUGCCUGGGAGGUGUGGCCAAUCACCAGAGAUGGAGUUUCCUUUCAAUAUAAGCAGAAAGAUCAUCUUCACAGCAUUGAGACCUAGGACUGAGGUGUGGCUUCGCUGAAGUUGUGGACAAAGAUUUAAAGACAGGUGAUAAAAUAUGUUUUCUCUUUUUUGACCUAGAGCUCACUGUUCAGUGUGGGUUUUGAUGUUUGUAUAGAGGAAUACGAUAUUUAAGACAAGCAGAAGCGAUGAAGGGACUGGCAAUGGGUUUUCAUCUUGAACAGGUCUGCGGUUGCAAGUGUGUGUUCUGCUGUGAUGAGCGGCGCUGUCUCAGCAAAGCACUGGUGUACUCCACAGGCCUGCAGCUCCUCAGUGUGGCCAACGGCCUGUGGGUGGAUAUUAUCUGGGCUCGGUGGUGUCCGUUCUAAAAUGGAUUCCAAAGUAAACUGUUUCUAGGAAUUAAUGUUAAUAAUCUUAGCAGGGAACACUGAUGUUGCCAUCAGUGUUCAUAAUUCAAGUGUAGAUCAAAGAAAAACAAAAGAACGUGGGCUGGGAGGGGAAUGGAGCAAACAUCGGCUGGUUCUAACUGGUAGAAGGCAAUCUGGAAGUCCCCGGGCUUUGGGGGGUUCUGGUGACUUGGAUGAGUGGUCGAGGAACCACCAAGGAAAUCCCUUAGACAAAACCUAGAGUUUAAAUAAUUCUGCCUAACUUUACUUAUUUUUAUAAACUCUCUUUUAUACUUUGUACAAAGUCAGCACGAGUUUUUGGCUCAGUUUCUCUAGUGUUUUCUAUGGAGGAAAUAAAAAUUAAAUCUAGCUGUUAAAAAUAAAUAGAACUGGGGAUGUAUCUCAGUUGGGAGAGUGCCUACACUCUAACGUGCCUGUACUCCUAAUGUGUGCAAACCCCUGGGUUCUACUCCACACUCAUGAGGAGCUGGGGGCGGUGGCACACGCCUGCAGUUCCAGCCCCUGAGGCGUUCAAGCGGGAGACUCAGAAGGGCAAGGGUACCUUUGGAUACAUUGUGAGUCCAACAGCCUGAGAUGCUAGAAAAAGCAGGAAAGCAGGCACUUGGGUGUCAAUUCACAGAGGCUCACACAUCAGCUGACACCCAUCCUGGCCCUAGAAGCCCGGCUGAGACAGAGGCUGUACACCCAGGUGUCUUUGGUUUUAAAGAAAGCCCCCGAUUCCUCCAGUUAUGAACUUAACAUCAUGACUCCAAAUGAGAACGACAGUUGUACCUGACGAGCACAGGCACUGACACUCUGUGUCUGUCCUGGAAAGAGGAUGAGGCCUGUACUGCUGUAGCCCUCACGCCCAGCAGUGUGAGACUUGUCACCAGAUUUUCUUUUCUUUUUUUUUUUUCUUUUUUCUUUUUUUUUUGGAGCUGGGGACCGAACCCAGGGCCUUGCGCUUGCUAGGCAAGCGCUCUACCACUGAGCUAAAUCCCCAACCCCGUCACCAGAUUUUCUUAUGAACAGUACAGAGGAAGGACAUUCUGGAGUUUGAAAAUGUUAAAUACCAAAUUUUAUACUGUUGAUUUUGAAAACCUCUAAUCUUUUUCAUGACACCCAGAAGCAAACAUCUGUAUUUGGCUCAACUUGUGUAUAUACGUGUAUAUGUCCACACGUGUGUUCAUGCAUAUGAUCAGAGGACCACCUCAGACAUUACUGUUUUGGCACUGUCUACCUUUUUUGAGACAAGGUGUCCUAUUAGCCUGAGGCUUGCGAAUUUGGCUGGGCUGGCCAGUCAGGAAGCCCCAGGGACCCACCACACCUGGCUUUAAGUGGGUGCUGGGGCUCCCAGGUUUGCAGAGCAAGCACUUUAUAUAAUGAGCCACCUCUAGCCCCUUGUUCUCUUUAACAUGCUUUUAUCAUGUAUUCUCUGCUUGUUUCUAGACUUGUUUAGUAAUGUACUUGGUGAACCGGAAACAUAGUCUUUAAUCUUUGGAAGUAUUAAAUGUAGUUGAUGGAAAUCUUUCAAAAAUUCCAAGUCUUUCAACCAAGCAUUACUUUUAACAGUUGUGAAUUCAGUAUUAGAUCUUGAGUGAUCAGGAGGCAGAAUAUGACUGUGUGCUUAUUUAUGUAUUUCAGUUAGAUCCCAGGGCUCGUGUGAUUUUUUUUUCCCCAGUGCUAUUCAUUCUGUAGUUUUAGAAUUAAAUUACUAUUCUAGUUUGUGUCUUCAUCUCCAAAUUUACAUUAUCGGUUUAAAAAAAAAAAAACAGAAUGGAGGGCUGGGGAGGAGGGAAGGAGAGAGAACAAAAAGACUAGAGCAAAAGGCCAAACCUAAUAAAGCAGGGAGAACAAUGUUGGGAGGAUAUUACAAUGCAUACAUCUUCUAGCUAAACCCAAGGCAGUUCCUCCAUGUAUGGUGAAAUGCCAUCUAAGGCCAUCCAUUUAGCUAAUGAUCUGCCCUGGUAAAGCGGCACUUAAAAACGUAUUUGUCAUCUGAACCUGGAGGAUAGCUUGCCUUUUAAGAGCUUCCUGUGCGCCUGGCACAGCUGCAUCUUCAAUGUGAAGUGUGCCACUGAGAUCUACCAAAACAGCUUUUAACACACGGCGUGCUGCCAUCCUUCAUUCCCUAGGAGAGAGCAAAUGAAAUUAAAAAUACAGUUUAACAAACAAUGGACAAUUAAAAACUGGUAAGCAAUCAAAAAUACCAUUCACAUCCAGGAAGAUAUUGCUUAGCCUUAAGCUGCUUCUCUUUUAGAAAAAAAUAUUUAAAAAAAUCAAAACCCAACAUUUAAUGCAUGAAACUUUUAUAAUGCUUAGGUUUUUAUCUAUUUUCUUUUUAAUCGAGUUAAACCUUGGAAAGAAUGUCAGAACGAGAUGCUACGACUUAUUCUGAGGUUCCUCAGAAUAACUCUGGUGAAUAAGACACGUUUUAUUUUUAAGUAGGAGAAUAAUGAAUACACAGAUAGGAGGAAGACUGCAUUAGAAAGGCCUUUGCAUCCUUGGUUGGGGACAAUUAAAACAUUCUAAUUGCCACUGCUACUUUCUGACCGGUACCUGUGGCCAACGAGCGCUCUGUAUUUUAGAGGUAACCUAUAAAUUCUUAUAGCCUACAAGUUGAAGGGAAAAUCAAGUUAUAUAAUAAAAAUAAGGUGUGUGUGUGUGUGUGUGUGUGUGUGUGUGUGUGUGUGUGUGUGUGUGUACUUCAUGUAUGCAAGGCAAGCAUGCUAUGGACUAAGCUGCACUUCUAGGUCCAUGCUGUAAAUUCUAAAGAUCAUAUCCUCACUUUUUUUUUUUUUUUUUUGGUUCUUUUUUUCGGAGCUGGGGAUCGAACCCAGGGCCUUGCGCUUCCUAGGCAAGCGCUCUACCACUGAGCUAAAUCCCCAGCCCCAUAUCCUCACUUUCUAAUGUGUGCAACUUUACUUUGCAAAAUUUCCCCUCAAAUACUUGUUAAAUACUUCGUUGUUUAAAUUACUUGACAAGGUCUUGUUAUGUACCAGACUAACCUUGAAUUCAUAAUCCCCCUGCCUCCCUAGAGCUGGGGUUAUAGCCCAGUGCUACCAUAUCUGACGUCUUUAAUCUUUAUUGUGAGUCAUGUCACAUGAGGCUAAAUUUGGUUUAUAGAUCAUUAGGAACGGGCGGGGGGACUAAGAAAAGGAAUGAGGUUUGAUUUAGUUGAGACUUAGGGUUUGUUUUGUUUUGAGACAGGAUCUCACUGUGUAGCCUCCCUGACCUGGAACCACUCUAUAGGCCAGGGUUUCCUCUGUAUUACAACAACACUCCUGCUUCCCUGCAUUAUAUGCAUUUGCCACCAUGCCUGGUGAUUUACAGGUUCUUUUUAAAUUAGGGAUUUAAUUUAUUAGUCAUUUUUCCCAUUUGUUUCUUCUCUUUACAAGUCGUCUUAGGGUCACUACAGCAACAUGACCAGAGAAACUAGAGGAGGACAAGGUUUAUUCAGCUUACACUUCCACAGCACCUGCUCGUCAGUGAAGGAAGUCAGGACAGGAAUUCACACAGGGUAGGAGCCUAGAGACAGGAGCUGAUGCAGAGGCCAUGGAGGGGGCUCUUUGUUCUGGGGAGCCUUUGGAUUCAGAUGUCCUUUCCAAGGUUUCCCUAACCACCAGUUUGACCCCAGGCUACCACAUGGGACACUGUCAUAUGUCUCUGGGAGAUGGGCAACACCGAGACUGAACCCGAUCUUCAGUCACUCCUGGGGUGUCUGCUACAAAAUUUUUCCAAAACACCUUUGUUCUAUGGCCUGGCCUCAAUAAAUGGCCAACAGAGAGCAUUCUAAAUGUUAAUAUCCUCCACGGUAUUAAAAUUUCUGCUGGUAUCUGGGCAAAUGGUCUGAACUCCCUUCUGUCCAGGUUUGUUGGGAACCAUACUCUCGUGCCUCCUCUGUAGCCAAUAUUCUAAAGUUCAGGUCCUACUAGCAAGGAUGGUCACUCCAGCAGACCCCUUGUCUUCAAGGACUCAGAUCCCAAACCAGGGUCCCCUCCCUUAACCGAGCCCCAUCCCCCCCUCCCCCCACUUCUUCCUUGGAUACACUCACCUGUUUUAGCUACAAUGGUCACUGCAAACCAGGCUGCUAAUCUAAUCCUCAGUUGUCUGUGAGUUGGAUCCUAAAUCCCAGAGCCCUGAUUCUUCAGCCUGCCAUGUCCUCCACAAGGCCCUGGCUCUUACAACACCCCUCCCCUCUUCCUUUCAGUUUGCCUGAGGUCCAGUAAAGCUCCAGCUGCCCCCCUCCUCCAGAUAAUCCUUUUCUCCUAGCCCAUUGGACAAAGCCACACUCACUCCCACAACAGAUCCGCCCACUUUGCACAGUCCAGCCUGGCCUGUUGGGGAGGCCUCAAUGCUCACGUACAGAACACAUCAGCCUCUCCAACACUCCUUAACAGGUCACUCUUGUCCCUCCAAACCCCACAGCUUCCUUAAGCCUAUGCCUGAGCCACAAUAGUAAUUUUUUUCCAACCCCGCCUCCCCCAAGAUCUGCCCCCUCUGCCAUCCUGGGUCUCUAAACUUGUUCCAAGUGCAUCACGUCAACAGUCCCACCUCCUCACUGACGUGGCUCCAGAAGAGCCUCUUCCUUUCAGCCCACAGUGCGGCCCCUCCCUUCCUAAAGCUAAAUUCUACACAGCUGAUAACCAAAUAAACUACAAUCUAUGACCUUGUGAUAACAGUUCCCUGGUCAAGGUCCUAAAAUCAAAAAAGUUUCCAUUUUCUAAGCUUAUUAAAUUAACCUUUUCCUGUCCAGUAAAGUUUAAACAUAAUAUUCAAGCACUUAUAGCCCAAAACCAAAUGUUUGUCUAUUUAGAUAUACUUUAGAUAAACAAUGGUCCUCAACCACUUCAAAAAUCUACAGAAUAUGGCACUUAAAAUGUUUAAUAAGAAAGCAUUUCAGAACAGAGACACACAGGCUCUUGACAGCACCCUGUAUCUCCUCCAAAGAUGGGCGUAGAAGAACCUCCACUUGAGCUUGCUUUAAAUGUGACAAAGACAGACAGACACUGGGCUGUACACUGCCCCUUGCCUUGACUGCUGACAGCACACUGACUAUGACAGGCAAGACACUGAAGUUGACUGACUAGCUUUGCCCUUCUUCAUAGUCUGGUUUCACAGAAAAGUCUGUCAAGAGUUUCUGGGCCUGAUGACCAAAAUGGAUGUCCCACUGACCGACCACAGAGGAUUCUCAACAAUUCUCAACCCGACAAUUCUCAACAGCAGCUGUGAAUGGAUGACUGACUACCCAGGUAGCCCAGUGUCUGUGCCAUUUUUAAACCUUGGAGGCUGCUUGCUCAGAUGAAAUUUAUCCUUCUCAGGACUCUAGUGGGUUUGAAGGUCAAUUUAAGGAUAAAAUCCAAGGCUUUAGUCGAGUUCUCAGUUCUCUUCAUAGGUAAAAAUCAGGUCUCAGGCCUCAAGCCUCCCUCUCCUAGAACUGCCACUACUAGGUCUAGACACAAUGUCCCUUGUUACUAGACUUUAAAAAACAACAAUCAAUAUAACUUUUUGAUAUUCUUGAAUCUAAAGGAGCUCGCUUUGCAAUGGCUAUGCCCAAGGGUCAGUCAUGUGUGUCUAGUGGUAAGUAGCUGUAUAAAAGGAGAUAAAAAGUUUAGGUAAGGUAUGAGGAUAUGAAAGCUUCCUGAGGGGCUGGGAAAGCAUUUUGAGGCUGGUAAAUGAUGUCAUGAAGGUUGGAGGAUGUGGAAAAAACUCGGAUGUGAUAGGAAAGUGAGUCAAGAAGUGAAAAGUGGGGUUGGGGAUUUAGCUCAGUGGUAGAGAGCUUGCCUAGCAAGUGCAAGGCCUUGGGUUCAGUCCUCAGCUCUGGAAAAAACAAAAACAAAAACAAACAAACAAAAAAAAAAACCAAGAAGUGAAAAGUGUUUCAGGUUCUUCCCUUGCUGACUGGUGAUGACUUACAUACAGUCUGUAGUCCAACUCCCAACAAUGGUCAGCAGCAGCUGUGAAUGAAGUCCAAGGAUCUAGCAGUGGCUCAGUCCCACAGGGCAGGCAGGCAGGUGAAAAAAGGAGACUAUUCUUUCUUCCAAUGUUCUUUUGUAAAUCUCCAGUAGAGGGUGUGUCCCAGAUUACAGGUGUGUACCACCACGCCUGGAUCUGGGACUUGCUUUGUCCCAGGUGACCUUGAACUCAGAGAUCUUGCCUUAAGCUCCUGGGAUUCAUAGUCACUUUGCUUCAGAUCUCCAUACCAAGAUCCAGGUCAGAAACUUGUAUCUCCCAGCCUCAAGAUCAGAUCAAAGGUGAGCCUUCCAAUUCUGGACUGUAGUUCACUCCAGAUAUAGUCAAGUUGACAACCAGGAAUAGCCACUACACAUGUCUAAAAUGUAUUUCUUUCUUUUAAAUCUUCGUAAGAUUCUUAUAAGCUUCAAAAGGCUUUACAAAACUAGAGGGCCCUUAACCUCUUCAUGACUUAUAAGGGUGACUUAUAAGGGUGUUUCUGGGAGAAAAUGCUACUAUUACAUCAAUGAGUCUGGCAUGGUGGAGACCUGGAUCAUGUCACUCCACAAAUUGUCUCCACCAAUACAACCAGGCCACAUCUUCAUUCCAUGCUUUCUAACAGUCUUAACUCUUCACAUGGCUAGUCCCGUUCAUAGCGUUUUUCUCUAAGCUUUGCCCUCUCCUCUUCCUCCAGGAGUAAAGUUUCCUAAGGAACAGUCAACCAAAUGCUCCUACACCCAUACCUCCUGAUGACCAGGACCCUACCUACUCCUACUCUCCCACUCCAUGCCGCCCCUCUUCAGAAGGAAGUAGUGAGAUCUGAAUUGGCAACCCUAUACCCAAAGAGGUCAGGAUGUUAGGCUGGAACCAUGGCUCAUCCCUUGCACUAUCUGGAAAGCCCUCCUUUCCCCAAACCCCCUUCCCCCCAACCCCGCUGGCAGAGAAAACUCCUGUUUGCUUUGAGAAAACUUGGGGCUAACGAGUCAUCACUCCUCAUCACUGUGUUUCCAGCAACCCACCCAAGAGUGCCUGCCUAGGGGCCCAGUUCUUGACCAUGUAUGGACAGCACCCCAGGUCCUAGUUGGCACCCCAUCACUCCUUACCUAAGCGCUAUAAAACCCCUUGCUUUAGUGUGGAUGCCUGACUUCACUGACCUCUACCUGUGAGAUCAGUGAACUCAACUGAGAGUUGCCUCCUUAUAAACCUGCCUUUAUCUACCUUUAAUCUGGUCUAAUCUGGCCUCUAUCUGCAUCUCAGAGGAAGAGAAAAUGCCUAUCGGUGUGUACGCUUAGCAAUUUCCCCAUCUUGACAGAUGUAUGUAGCUUACUAUAGGUAGAUCUGGACAUUCAUUUUUACUACUGUAUUCUAUUAUAUAAACGCACUAUAAUUAUGUUCUCCUGAGCAUAAGUAAUCGUAGUUUUACUGUUUUAUUGUACCACAAGCACACCUAUCCAGGAGUUUGUACGUCUCCUUGUGGAUACCUAUAAGCACUUCUGUGGAGUUUUGCUUGCGCCCUACCCUUAUAGGAUACUGUCAAGUUGCAAUCACGGUCAUCUUAUAUAGUCAGCAUACAAGAAUUUGUUGAGAAAAAUGCUGGAUGUGUAGUCCGGACUAGCUCCAGGGCUCAACAGCAUCCUCAGUUAUCUAUUGAAUUAUGAGGCCAGCCUGGGCUACAUGAUAGCCACCGCCCCAUCCCACCACCACCACCAAAAGGAAAAAAAAUGCAUUCUGCUUGUCUUUGCCAAAUAUCUAUUGGAAAAGAGUGCAGAGACCAAAACUAAGAAGAUAUUAAGAGCUGUAGAGAUGGCUCAAUAAAGACAGCUCUCGCACAGAACAGGGUUCAGUUCCCAGCACCCACAGGGCAGCCUAUUCCAAGUAACUCCAGUGCCAAGGGGAUAAGACAUUUUCUUCUGACCCUCUUGGCUCCUGCCUGCACACAGAUAUACUCAAGAACACACACAUGCACAUAAUUAAAAAAAAAAAGCUGCAGUCAAGUCUCAAGUGCAAAAUCAUCCCUUUUAUGAAUCUUCUUGAUAUUCUAUCCUGAUCCUUUGUGAACCAUAAAAUGAAGAUGUGUUUGAAAGACCCACCCCAUGAGUCUUAACUCAGAGUUGCAACAGGCUUGAACGAGCCCAGGCACGCCCAGAUACCUAGGGCCGAGUCACUGUGAAAACUAACAGACCAUAAAAGGAAAGGAAUGCAGAACAGACCAGGAGUACCACUCACAGGCCACCUGGCAGGAAGAGAUAAGCCCCCAGCCCCCCGACAUCCAGGACGCCCCAAACCUGCCAAUGUGUGUAGCUAUACCUUAUUACCUCAUCAUGUGAAAUAGCCAAUCAUAUGUGAACAUGUCUAUGUGCCUCGUUUGAAUCCACCAAUCCCCGUAACUAUGCAUCUGCUUCUGUACGCCCGCUUCUGCUUCCCCAAUCCCUAUAAAAGCCCCAUGCUGGAGCUGCUGGGUGCGCAAGUCCUCCGAAGAGACUGUGUGCCCGCAGGUACCUGUGUUUUCCAAUAAACCCUCUUGCUGAUUGCAUCCGAGUGGACUCGGCUCGGUCAUUGGGCGCUUGGGACUCCUCCUGAGGGAAAGGUCCUCUCUGGGGGUCUUUCAUUAUGGGGGCUCGUCCGGGAUUUGGAGACCCUCCGCCCAGAGAUCACCGACCAUCCACCGGGAGGUAAGCCGGCCGGCGUUUGUCUUGUCUGUUGUGUCUUGUCCUGUGUACGAUCGAUCAAUAGGCUCAGAUCUGGGGACUAUCUGGGCGGGCCAGAGAAGGAGCUGACGAGCUCGGACUUCUCCCCCGCAGCCCUGGAAGACGUUCCAAGGGUGGUUGGAGGAGAGGGAGAUCUGGAUCCGUGGCACCUCCGUCCGUUUUCGGAGGGAUCCGCACCCUUGAUGACUCCGUCUGAAUUUUAUUGGAGUAGAGGAUCCAAGACCCUCGCUGACUCCGUCUGAAUUUUUGGUUUCAGUUUGGUACCGAAGCUGCGCGGCGCGUCUGCUUGUUACUUGUUUGACUGUUGGAAUUGUUUGUCUUCUUUGUGACCUGACUGUGGUUUUCUGGACGUGUUGUGUCUGUUAGUGUCUUUUUGACUUUUGUUUCGUGUUUGAAUUUGGACUGACGACUGUGUUUAAAAUCUUGGACCGACGACUGUGUUUGAAAUCAUGAAACUGUUUGCUUUGUUCGUCGAAGAGUUUUACUUGGUCCCCUUAACGCUUAGUGAGUAAGAAACUUAAUUUUGUAGACCCCGCUCUAGUGGCAGUGUGUUGGUUGACAGCCAAAGUUAAUUUUUAAAACAUAGUGUUUUGGGGGUUGGGGAUUUAGCUCAGUGGUAGAGCUCUUGCCUAGCAAGCGCAAGGCCCUGGGUUCGGUCCCCAGCUCUGAAAAAAGGAAAGAAAAACAAAACAAAAACAUAUAGUGUUUUAUCUGUGCUUAUGCUCGCAGCCAGCUGUGAUGAACUGGGAAAGAUUUAAAUUUUCCUUGGGAGUAAGGAAUCUUAAAGGCGGAGUUUCAGCCGGUAUGGCACUUAGUGCAUAGCUGCCUAAAAGAUCAGAAAUGCUGUUAACAGGCUAUAAAAAAAGGACAGGCUGUGUUAGAAAUGCUACAGGAAGAAUGAUCUAAAAAGGCUGAGAGCUAAGUGGGGCUAUAAGGAAAACAAGAACAGGAAAGGAAUUUCUGACAUUUGCUCACAGUAGGAGAGCGCUCAUUUAGAGAAGUUCUUUAAGGAAGCCUGCCUUAUCUGCUGUCCUUAUUCCAAGGGAGGAGUCAGUCUCCAACAUUAAAUUACUUUUCUCACUGAUCAUCAUUAACAUGGAGAGUGCCUCUGGUCCUAUCCCCACAGCAGCCAGUUCCUGCCCCUAUGGUUAAAAUGCCCCAGGUUGGGGGACAAAAAGAGCCCCUAAAAUAGUUUCAAAGAAUCUACAACUGUGAAGAACUUUGUUUUGCCAGUCAGGAUUAAUGUUUUCUUUUCCAUGGGCCUAUAGCCCACUGAGACAGUUUGGUAAAGGGCUGUUACUAAAGUCCUGAAAGCCCCAGGUGAACUGGUUACAAUUCUUUUGUCAGCUGCUUAGUAUCUAGCACCCAGGUUCUAACCAUCUCUCCAUCCUUUUGUUAUUAGUUGUUACUAGAAGCCUAGUGUCAUUUGGAGGCUGGUUCUCUUGAGAGGCAAAGCCACCAAGCUGACACUGAAGGGAGGUAGGUACUCCUUAAGGGAAAAUCUAAGCCCAGAGAGACAGCCGGUAACAGCUAGGCUGCCUCUCUGCUCGCCUUUCUGUUUCAUAGACAAAGCUUGUGCUUAUAUUUACAGUGGCCUUUUUGUCCAAAAAAAGGCCUCCUGGUUUAGCUGUGUGACUAAAUGCUAUUUGUCCUCUUCAGUGGACCUCUCUCCUCUAGAUUCCCUUCUUGUUUUCUCACCAUCCCACGUGAGAUGCUUGUUAGUAACUGUUACAGAUCUUCUUUACCACUGAGGAAAGACAGAAUCCUGCUAGAGGCCAGAAAGAAUGUUCCAGACAUGGAUGGAAGGCUCCUGACUGUUGACUUCAAUGCCCCUGAAGGUAGGGAGUGCUCCAGGUCUGCCCCCAGGCUCCGAGGGUGGGUCUCCUAGGGGCUGGAAAAUGCCCCACCAAUCUGGCUAAGAUAAGGAAAGGAUAUGAAGAGAAAGUUACAGAAACUUGAAGGGUAAAGCUAAGUCACUGAGAGAGUUAUUGUAAGUUGCAGAGAAAAUAAGUUGAUGCGUGGUUCAGGGUCUGUGCAGAAAAGUGGACAGCACCUAAUAGCUGUAGAAGAAGAUGCAGAGAGACUGAAAAAAAAAAAAGAAAGAAAGAAAGAAAGAAAGAAAGAAAGAAAGACAGGAAGAAAGAGGAUAAAAAGAGCAGGAAGCUAGGGAAGAAAAGAGACAAAAAGAAGAGGAAAUUAGAGAGCUAAAGAGAGAUAAAAGACAAGAGAGGAACAUAUACUGGCCACAGUAGUUAGGGAACUUAGGAAGAUAGUACCUGGCAACAGAAGAGAAUUCCUGGCUAAAGAUCAGUGUGCCUAAUACGAAGAAAAAGGACAUUGGGUCAGGGACUGCCCCAGAAAGAACAAGAGGGGACACUGGAGAGCCUCUUGGUGCUGGCUAUGCACAGAGAUAGAAGGGAAGCCCGCCCAGUUGUUUUGUGGAUACAGGGACCCAAUGCUCUGUGCUCCUAUGCUCCAGUGGGCCAGUAUCCAAAGACCUUGGGUACAGGGGCCUGCUGGCAACAAACAAUACUUAUGGACUGCCCGAAGAACAGUGGACCUUGGCGUGGGCCGGGUAACCCACUAGUUCAUAGUCAUCCCUGACUGCCCCCAUCCCUUGCUCAUGAGAAAAUUGCUCCCCAAAAUGGCUUGCGUGGGCUGAAAUGGCUGGGUGAGGCCAUGUGUAUGCAUAUCUACAGACUGUGUAUGCGGAGCUUAAGACCUGUCUCAGUGCACCAGUACCUGAUGCUGGGAGAUGAAUGGCUUAGCGCUGUUCUACUUGGAACAUAUCACUCCUGCCAGCCGGGCACUAACAAUUAUCACCCAAUCCAGGACUUAAACUGUGAUAGACUGGCUGAUGUUUGCCUUUGAAUAGAGUGUCCCAAAAGAUGGGACCACUGGUCAGCUGCCAUGGACUAGAUUCUCCACCUGUUGGGGGCAAUCUGGUCACCUUGCUGCCCAAUCCGACCUGGAGCCACCACAGCACGAGUGUCAAGCACUGGCAGAAGCCCAUGGGUGGAGGAAAGACCUCUGCGACUGGCUGAUUGACCCCUGCUGAAAGCCGAGGCUACCUUGUCCACAGACGGGAACAGUUCUCUUCAUGAAGGUCAGAGAUAAGUGGGUGCUGCCAUGGUGGACAACACAAUGUCAUCUAGGAUGGCUGAACCUCAACCCCCCAGUACAUCAGUGCCGCAGAUGCCUUUGCCAUCUCUUGGAUGCCCUGAUGAAGCCAACAACUGUGAGUACUAUUCAUUGCUCAGGAUAUCAGGAGGGAAGAGAUUCAGUGACAUGGGGCAAUAACGAAGCAGAUCAAGUGGCUCGAAAAAUGGUUAUGCAGGAGCCCAUCCUGGUUGCAGGCCUGCAAGAGACAGCCACUGAGAACUAGGAUUGGACUAAGGGAUGGCCUCACUUAGAAAAGGCCCAAAUUGCUUAAAAGAUAAAGGACAAUGGCACACUUGAGGGGAAAGCUAUACUCCCCAGAGAACAAAGAAAAGACUCACUUUGCCAAAUACAGAAAUGGACUCAUUUAGGAGAUAAAAAGUUUGUCCAAGUAGUUAAGUGUAUGUAAUAGACUUUAAGAUUUUAGCCAGAGAGGCAGUAGAAAGUAUAAGGUAUGUCAAUAAGUGAAUGCUUAGCAAGCAAACAGGGCAAAGAGACCUAGAGAGUUUGGUGAAAAGUCGAAGUGAACUUCACUGAGAUAAAACCAGAAAAAUAUAAUCACAAGUAUCUCCUAGUGCUUGUAGAUACUUUUUCAGGAAUAGAUAGAAGCUUUCCUCACCAAACGAGAGACGGCCUCUGCAAUCAUCAAGAAGAUACUGGAAGAAAUCUUCCUCUUGGAAUGCCCAAGGUAAUCUGGUCAGACAACGGCCCUACUUUCAUUGCCAAGGUAAGCCAGGGUGUGGCCAAGUAUUUAGAGGUCGAUUGGAAAUUACAUUGUAUUUACAGACCUCAAAGUUCAGGACAGGUAGGGUAAAUAAAUAGAACUCUAAAAGAGACCCUGACCAAAUUAACCAUGGAGACUGGCGCAGACUGGGUGACACUCCUUCCCUCUUGCUCUCUUCAGAGCAAGAAAUACCCCUUCCAGAUUCAGCCUUACCCCCUUUGAGAUCUUAUAUGGGGCCUCAGCCCCACUGACUGUAUUAGAUGAUGUUACUGAACCAACAUGUCAUAGUGCCAUAGUAAUAAUGAUUUGUGUGCCAGGCUAAAAGACCUACAGGUGAUACAGAAAGAAAUCUGCUCAGAGCUGGCAGCAGCCUAUGCCCUGGGGACCCCUGAGACAUCUCACCAGUUCCAGGUCGGAGACUCGGCUACAUACGAUGGCACCGAACCCAGAUACUCACUGGAAAGGACCGUACCUGGUUCUGCUGACCACCCUGACAGCCAUCAACUCUCAACCCUCACCAGCCGUGUACUAGCUGUUGGGGCUGAGAGCUGGGACCUAGAGGGAAACUCAGAUCUUCAAAAAGCUCCCUAGACUUAAUUUCAUGUUUGCCCCGGGUUUUAUCAAGAUAGGUGUGGGGAUAGGCUUGAUUUCUAUUACAAAUGAUGUAACAUUGCAUAUGUUAGUACUCCUAACACUUCUUGGGACUGUGCCUCAGGGAUCACAAUCUGUAUAAGUUUAGAAGUUCUAAAAGCUAGUCAUGACCUUGGUGUGUAGGUUUAGAUAGUGUCCAGAUUGGAAUCCUGAUGCUAAAGAAUUAGUAAGAAGAAAAAAAAAGAGUUGAGAAUUACUUAAGGCUAUCUAGGUGCUGCAAGGGCAGCACAAGGACAUCUGCCAUUGCCCUGCAAUGCAAGGUUUAUAGAGAAUUCAGAACUGCCAUUGACUCAGAUAUAAAAAGAGUGAAAGACUUUUUAGCUGACCUCCAAGAAUACCUAACCUCCCUCUCAGAGGUAGUCCUUCAGAAUAGGAGAAGAUUAGACCUGAUAUUCCUUAAAGAAGGAACCUGUGUGCUACACUGAAAGAAUGUUGUUUCUAUGCAGACCAUACAGGAUUAGUGAGAGAUAACAUGGCUAAGCUCCGAGAACGCUUGGCCCAGAGACAGAAGCUGUUUGAUUCCCAACAAGGCUGGUUCGAGGGGUGGUUUAACCGAUCCCCUUGGUUUGCUACCCUGGUGUCCACCUUGAUGGGACCCUUAAUCAUCCUCCUCCUAAUCUUCCUCUUUGGCCCCUGCAUUCUAAACAGAUUGAUGCAGUUCAUAAAGAACAGACUCUCAGUCAUUCAGACGCUUGUUCUCACCCAACAAUACCAGAGGGUAAGACAACAGGAAGAGAUUCCUUAGAAUUCGAUUUGAGUAAAGGAUUUUACUCAAGUCUAAAAGAAAAUGGGGGAAAAUGAAAGACCCACCCCAUGAGUCUUAACUCAGAGUUGCAACAGGCUUGAACGAGCCCAGGCACGCCCAGAUACCUAGGGCCGAGUCACUGUGAAAACUAACAGACCAUAAAAGGAAAGGAAUGCAGAACAGACCAGGAGUACCACUCACAGGCCACCUGGCAGGAAGAGAUAAGCCCCCAGCCCCCCGACAUCCAGGACGCCCCAAACCUGCCAAUGUGUGUAGCUAUACCUUAUUACCUCAUCAUGUGAAAUAGCCAAUCAUAUGUGAACAUGUCUAUGUGCCUCGUUUGAAUCCACCAAUCCCCGUAACUAUGCAUCUGCUUCUGUACGCCCGCUUCUGCUUCCCCAAUCCCUAUAAAAGCCCCAUGCUGGAGCUGCUGGGUGCGCAAGUCCUCCGAAGAGACUGUGUGCCCGCAGGUACCUGUGUUUUCCAAUAAACCCUCUUGCUGAU